GUGUGCACUUUGGCAGCACAUGUACUAGAACUGGACAGAUACAGAGAUUAGCAUGGCCCUGCAUAGGGAUGACAUGCAAAUUCAAGAAGUGUUCUAUAUUUUU
rnacentral:snRNA from 1 species